rnacentral:rRNA from 1 species
UACAGAGGGUGCAAGCGUUAAUCGGAAUUACUGGGCGUAAAGCGCACGUAGGCGGCUAUGUAAGUCAGGUGUGAAAUCCCCGGGCUCAACCUGGGAACUGCACUUGGGACUGCAUGGCUAGAGUAUGGGAGAGGAAGGCGGAAUUCCCGGUGUAGCGGUGAAAUGCGUAGAGAUCGGGAGGAACAUCAGUGGCGAAGGCGGCCUUCUGGCCCAAUACUGACGCUCAGGUGCGAAAGAGUGGGGAGCAAACAGG